CCUGCAUUUCCUGCGAGUCAACAGAAACCAGGUCCACAUGAUUCUGUCUGCAGUACCUCAGGGCUUCUCGCCAGGUCUUCUUCUCAGUGAUCACGUCCUAUCCAGAAGUUGCCUCCUUUACCCUUGAGAAGGUCUUUCACAGCAUCCAUUUCUUCUUGGUUCUCGAUGGUGGCCAGGGUGGCGGGGAACCUGGAGUCUAUCCCAGGCAACAUGGGGCACAAGGUGGGGUAAACCCUGGACAUGGUGCCAAGCCAUUGCAGGGCACAAUCACACAGACGUGCACAUACCACAGACACUUUUGGACAUGCCAAUCAGCCUACAGCACAUGUCUUUGGACUGGUGGGGUAAACCGGAGUACCUGGAUGAAACUCCCAAAGCACAGGGAGAACAUGCAAACUCCACACACAGAGGGCAGUGGCAGGAAUCAAAGCCCCAACCCUGGAGGUGUGAGGCAAGCGUGCUAACUACUAAACCACCAUGCUCCGAGGAAUGUAAUUAUUAACCUAAAAUCUAAAUUCCACAAUGUGACUGUAAAGGUGCUCUGAUGUGUGUGUGUGUGUGUGUGUGUGUGUGUGUGUGUGUGUGUGUGUGUGUGUGUGUGUGUGUGUGUGUGUGUGUGUGUGUGUGUCUGUCUCUGACUCUCUCUCUAUGUUUUGUUUUGUCUUCCCUGGAAAUCAGAAUGACCUUCACUUUAACAAGUAUUUCAUUGUAUUUGCGCUUCACACUUUUGUUGAUGCUUUCCAUAAAGUUCCAAGCAACAAAAUGCAAAUGAGCUAAAACACACCGCUCUGUAGUAGUUGUGUGUAUUAUACAAAAGGACAGAUCAACUUUGAACCCCCAACACAAUAUCCAGUCCACCAGUCAUUAGAGUAUGAAAUGUAUUUUUAGCCUCCACACUGCACAGUAUCUCUCAUCAAUACACAACUUUUCCUGGUCUUGUGAUUAUCAGAGUUUUACAUCCGGGAUGGAUGAAACUUUCUGCUUUGACCUUUUUAAAUCAUCUUAUUAAAAGUAGAUCAUUAUAUAGAAUUAGAUGAUUGUUAAGGCUUUAACACAUGGGUUCUCAGCUUUGGGGUAACCUCAGAUGUGGAUAAGGUCACAGGAGAUUUUUACUGACUGUCAUUUAUAGUGUAGUUCUAUUCAUAUAAACCUGAUUUUUAGAUUGGU